CGUUUAUUUGAUAGUGCCUUACUACUUGGAUAACCGUGGUAAUUCUAGAGCUAAUACAUGCUAAAAACCCCGACUUCGGAAGGGGUGUAUUUAUUAGAUACAAAACCAAUGCCCUUCGGGGCUCCUUGGUGAUUCAUGAUAACUAUACGAAUCGCACGGCCUUGCGCCGGCGAUGGUUCAUUCAAAUUUCUUCCCUAUCAACUUUCGAUGUUUGGGUAUUGGCCAAACAUGGUUGCAACGGGUAACGGAGGGUUAGGGCUCGACCCCGGAGAAGGAGCCUGAGAAACGGCUACUACAUCCAAGGAAGGCAGCAGGCGCGCAAAUUACCCAAUCCCGACUCGGGGAGGUAGUGACAAUAAAUACUGAUACAGGGCCCUUUCGGGCCUUGUAAUUGGAAUGAGUACAAUUUAAAUCCCUUAACGAGGAACAAUUGGAGGGCAAGUCUGGUGCCAGCAGCCGCGGUAAUUCCAGCUCCAAUAGCGUAUAUUAAAGUUGUUGUGGUUAAAAAGCUCGUAGUUGAACCUUGGGCCUGGCUGGCCGGUCCGCCUCACCGCGUGCACUGGUCCGGCCGGGCCUUUCCCUCUGUGGAACCCCAUACCCUUCACUGGGCGUGGCGGGGAAACAGGACAUUUACUUUGAAAAAAUUAGAGUGCUCCAGGCAGGCCUAUGCUCGAAUACAUUAGCAUGGAAUAAUAAAAUAGGACGCGCGGUUCUAUUUUGUUGGUUUAUAGGACCGCCGUAAUGAUUAAUAGGGACAGUCGGGGGCAUCAGUAUUCAACUGUCAGAGGUGAAAUUCUUGGAUCAGUUGAAGACUAACUACUGCGAAAGCAUUUGCCAAGGAUGUUUUCAUUAAUCAGGAACGAAAGUUAGGGGAUCGAAGACGAUCAGAUACCGUCGUAGUCUUAACCAUAAACUAUGCCGACUAGGGAUCGGACGGUGUUAUUCAUGACCCGUUCGGCACCUUACGAGAAAUCAAAGUGCUUGGGCUCCAGGGGGAGUAUGGUCGCAAGGCUGAAACUUAAAGAAAUUGACGGAAGGGCACCACCAGGGGUGGAGCCUGCGGCUUAAUUUGACUCAACACGGGGAAACUCACCAGGUCCAGACACAAUAAGGAUUGACAGAUUGAGAGCUCUUUCUUGAUUUUGUGGGUGGUGGUGCAUGGCCGUUCUUAGUUGGUGGGGUGACUUG
rnacentral:rRNA from 1 species